rnacentral:rRNA from 1 species
ACGCUGGUCGCGCGCCUAAGGAAACAAGUCGAACGAGAAAGCCGGGGCAACCUGGUGAGUAUUCCCCCGUACGGGUGAGUAACACGUGGAUGAUCUACCUCUUAGUUCGGAAUAACCAUGGGAAACCGUGGCUAAUACCGGAUAAGCUCGGGAGAGGAAAGCAGCAAUGCGCUGAGAGAGGAGUCCGCGGCCGAUUAGCUAGUUGGCAGGGUAAAAGCCUACCAAGGCAAAGAUCGGUAGCCGGCCUGAGAGGGCACACGGCCACACUGGCACUGAAACACGGGCCAGACUCCUACGGGAGGCAGCAGUGGG